AAUAAACUAGGUUAUUCUUCCGGAAUGACUAAGUUAUUCAAACCAUCCACAGUCGGUCAUAUGUUGGAAGUAGAUAUGAAUUAAGACUGUCAUGGGUUGGCUUGUAGAGGUCUAAGGUGUUGGACAAAGGGCUACAACACUCAUGAGUGCUCAUAAGUUCUGAGUAUUGGAUUCAACCCGCGCUCAUUGGAAUCACUUCAUGGAUUUUAUCACGAGUGAUCAUGAGACGAUAAUAUCUUAUAUUCUUCAAACCUAGAGAUAUGAGUUGUUACUAUGAGUUGGUUGUACAUUGAUUGCACGAAAACGCAUUUGGUAACUCGGUGCUAUAAAACGUGCCUUUGUGUAUGAUUCAACAAGUAGUAGAACAAGCCAUAUGAGUCGAAGUUUAUCCAUUCCUUUUACCUUCGGGAUAAAAGCGAUAUCUGUGGGCCCCUCGAUGAUUUGAUGAUGACAAAUGGAAGUGCUCGGCCGGGCCAGGACUGAUUUGAUUUGUUCAAUUAGUCAGUCGUCAUAAAUCGGAAAUCGGGAAACAACAAAUGGACAGAGAGAAUGAUUAUAAUCCAUGUCUCAGUCCAUAUGAUAUCUAGAAUGGAGGAAUAUAUGAUCCCUUAUCUAAUGGACAAGUUCGUUGACAAGAUCAGAGUUCGACAGCAGCUUUAAGAGCUACGAUUGCCAGUUAGGUUUGAAGUCAUACGCAAUAAUAGUUUUAGACUUAUCCAAGUGGGAGACUGUUGGAUUAAUGUCUAAGUCCAUAACUAUAUUUGGUAUGUACUUGACCCGACCCGGCAUGGUCCAUUUGGGUUGCACUUCACCGACACAAUUUAUAUGGAUAAUCUUUUGAGAAUAGUAUGUUUAUGAUUAAUAUUAAUAUAUUAUAAGUUCUAAUAUAUUAAUAUGGAAUCAUAUUAUUUAAUUAGUAUUGAUCAAGAAUUAAUUUAUAAUUAAUUAAGUGAUCAAAAGGAACUAAUUAAAUAUGGACUCUUAUAUAUAUGGAAUGGGCCAAGUUCAUUUAGGUUGGGCUAAGCUUUCAUGGAUAGUCCAUGGAGUGUUUAACCCAUGGAUCCUAGGAAAUGAAAGGUCAUGGGUAUUAGGGUUUAACCCUAAUCCUCCAUACUAUAUAAAGAUGUCUUUGGUUGGUGAAAUUGGCACUAGUGUGAUACACUAAGAGGGCUAGCCGAUUUCACUAAGAGAGAACCAAGUAUUCAUAUUCUCUAAAGUCUUCCAAGGUGUCUUGGUGAUUUGUGAUUCCACUUGAGGCUUCCACACUAUUGGGGCUAAGCUCUUAAAGCUUGAAGACAUCAAGCUACAUCAAAAGGUAUGUCUUCUAACUAGUACUUUGUAGAUUAAGAACAUCAUAAUAUGCUAGUUAGGAUUAAAGCCUUGGAAAGUUCUUAUUUGCAUGUAUAAUUGAGAAAACAUAGAUCCAAGGUUUAUAGGGUUGCAUGUACACCAUAGGAGUGUUAGAAUGCUCAAAACCCAACAGAUACACUCGACGAGUAGGAGCCCCAGACAGAAUAUUUUUGAGUUUUUUUGGCUAGAAAUGGACUAGGAACAUUACCCUAAGCUGUUUUUGGACUUAUAAACUUGUUUUUGAUGUGGUAAUGUUCAUGCUAACCCAAUUUCAAAGAUAAUUGUCAAUAGAUUCAUGUUUUGUGUUAGUUUAGUGAUUAGGCUAAUUAGAUGAAAACGUUUGAUUUGAAUUAUCUUGUUCUUAUGAGUUGCUUAGAUUAAUAGAAAAUUUAAUUGAUUAUGUGUUUUCAAUCCAUUUUAAUCUAAGAGUUGAUUCUAAAAUGUGUUUUUGUAACUUUUCCUCAAGUUAUAUGAAAAGUCACAUUUAAUUUUCAUAAAAGUCAUAAAAGUUGGCAAUGGUUACAAAAAAAUGAAGAGUCUUGUCCUCAAGUUAUGGAGGUUCAAGAGUCACUUCAUUAAGUAAUAAAAUGUGUAACCUUAAUUAAUUCCAUAAGUUACAAAAUCAAGAAAAGGUACAUUCUUUUAUUAGUUUAAAGUCUUCCAUAACUUGUCCUCAAGUUAUGGAACAUGAAGAGUCCUUUAUUUAAAACUACUUUAAACACAUAAGUUAUGAAAUUAAUUAGUUUUGAAUAGUUUCAAAACUUGCCCUCAAGUUUUGGAAUUAGAAAAGUUUUCACUUAUGAAAACUUUAAUUUCAAGUUAACCCAUAGAAUUUUAAAAGUUAAAAUUCAACCCUUAUACUUUAUAAUAUUAUAAGUUAAUAAUAUUUAUACAUAUGUAUAAGAGAAAGUCAGUCUUACCGUUAGUAGGUGUCAUUCACGAAGCCGGUCUAUAAGGGGGUAUAAGAUUACUGCCUAUAAAAUGGCAGUUUAAUGGGUGUCCACUCUCACCUACUGCUUUAUUGACUGGUGGAGGGUCUUUAGCCUAACAGGUAGGACAAGGACUACAAUUAUCCCUUCAUUAAAAGUAUUAAUGAUAAAUACUAAGUAACUAAACUCUUAUUGAUACCCAAUCUUAGUUACUUAGGAAAAAGUUGAAUAAGGUGCUAACCCAUGAAAUUAGACUUUGCACUUUGUUUAAGCUGUUACUGGAGCUUGUGUGGUUAACCGGCACACUAAUCUGGACUUAACAAGGUAGGCAAAGGGUAACUUAAUAUUUAUCAUUGUACCAGUGGAGCGUGUGUGGUUAACUGACACAUCGAUUAAGGGGUAAAUAUUAAGGGUACCCAAUAUAUUUGCAUGGUUACUUCAAACCUUGUUUUGUGAUCCUCAACAUCCCAGUCACAAAACCUGAAGGGCACACUCGAGAUUGAAACAUGCCAUUGAAAAUUUCAAUGAAUCUCAAAAGAUCUAGGAGUUUCAAAUCCAAUUAAGACUUAAUAAUACAUUGCGUUUAUCUUGGUGGAAACUGGUGAAUCGCAUUCACCUACCUUCAAAUAUUUUAUAGCUUGGAUUAUGGCAUCCCUCUUCCAAGUUAUAAAAGUAUUGUGUUGGGUCCUAGCCUUAAUAUUUCAUAUUAGGUGUCAUAUUAAGGACUUUAAAUCAACUAUCUUGAAUAUCUCCCAAAAAGAUGUCUGGUUUAGACAUUUAUGAUCUUCCCAAAUCUUUUGAAACAAGUUUUCCUAAAUGAAGAUGAUAUCCCAUGGAAAUCAUACAUCUUUCACCUCCUCCAAUUAUUCUCCUUAGCCCACAAGUUCUUGAAAAGUUUAAGGUCACUCAAGCCCUAUUGGCAAGCAAAGGUCUAUGUGCAAUCACAUCUUGGAGAUGUAGUCACAUAUUGACAAGCCGGAAGAGUUGGGUGUCAAAGUCUUGAGAAAGUUGGUGGUUCAAUCACUUUCUAAGUCACAUAGUGAGUUCCUUUGGGACACCUAUGAAACAGACUAUGACAAGACCCUUAAUGAUCUUAUCUAUUUGCUAUGAUCAACUUCCUAAAACUUAUGGAAAUUGACAAUAAUGACAUUGGAUAUCCAGUAAAGCUCUCUCUUCCCAAUGGAAAGGGAUCGGCCAUAGUCAACUCGAUUGACCAAAUGGUAAAGAGAAAGGCUAUAUCUGUGAUAGUCCAAUGUUCCAUUACCAAAGCGUCCAUAUGUUAAAUUUCCAAAGGAAGGGGCAUUGGUUGCGAGUCUGCCAAUUUACCUAAGGGUGUUAAAGUCAAUAAGGUUGACUCUACUUCAGGUAAAGUCCACUAUCUAACUCUGCUAAGUUUCUAUUCUGAGAUUCUUGAUACACGAUGUGAUUUGGUCACAUGGUGAUGUUUUAAGAAUCAAAGAAAUGUGAAGGAACUUAAAGAAAGAAUAUGUGGAAUCUGAUCGCGUAGAUGGAUCUCUAUCGCAUAGUUUGAAGAUCGGAUUGUUGAGCUACUUCUUAGGAGUUUUGAGAUAUUGCUUAGGAAUAGGUAACAACAAAGUUUCCAUGCUCCUUUGCAUUGUAAGGAUAGUUUUUCCUCAAAAAAAUUUUAAAAUAAAAGCAAAAAUUAUGAUUUUAUUUAUUUUAAAGUAUCCUUACAAUGGCAUUUGAGGAAAAAAUUGUUGCUUAUAUGAUUCCAUUAAUAGCAAGAGUGGAAAUAUGAAAUUGAUUCUUUCAUUUGUGGUAAUGUCUAAAUUUACCAAAUAAGGAAAGAUCCUCGAUGCCCAAGUUUCAAUUGGACCGGAACUUGGAAUCAUGAAAGUUGUAUAGCAUGAUGAAUGAGAAAUUUUCAUUUUUGAAAAAAUUAAGACUAACUAUUUGUUCACAUAGAUGUGUGAGUCAAGUAACGGACUAAGGUAUCAAGUACACAUUCUUGUGUACUGAUUAAGUCCACCAUGAAAGUUCGAUAAGACUAUUCGUCAUGAUUUAUAUAAGUUCAGUAAAUAUGGUUAUACUUACAAGUUUAAGUAUAAUUCUGAAACAUUGGAAAAUUUUCAAUGUAAAGUAGAACGAAUAAGAAGAGUCAAAUUAGGCAGAAAGAUAAAAGUUUCUGAAAUCUAAAAAGAUGGGAGAGUACUUUAGUAUCAGUUUUUGUGAUCAUCUUAAUGAUUAAGAACCCAUAGCACAAUUAGUUCUCUAAGGAAAUCUUAGUGCAUUCUUAUGAUUAAGAAGAGGAAUCUUGAAUUGUUGAAAUGGUUAAAUCAAGAAGAUGAGUCAUACUUCAUUCCAAUACAAGUCUUAGAGUCAUACUCCAAGAUUGUAACUUGAGUGACAUGUCUUAUAGAAGGUUUAAAACACAUGACAAAUAUAAGAGUAAAAGUUUUCUACUCUUGUAUAUUUGAAAUUGGUAAGUUGUGAUGCUUUGGAUAAAACAAAGACCAACUAAGGCCAAUUGUGUGAAGUGUUUGCCUUGAUUAGAAUCCACACUAUAUCUUGAAUAUCUGACAAGAAAGUCUUAUAUGUCAAGAGGAUAGUGGGAGUCUUAAAGGUCUUGAAAGUCUCAAGAACUAAUCAAGAAUAAAACCUGAAGUUCUUCACUAGCACACGACUUGAGGUUUUUAACCUAUCGUGUUGACAUAUUUUGUGCCUAUUCCAAUUAAAGUUGGCUUUGCAUAAGAGUUCUUCAAGUUCUCAACUGGUUGCAUAUCAACUUGGAAGCAAUGGCAGACCCUUGAACUUCCAGGUGGAAAGAAAUUAAGAUUGCACAAGUUCAGUCCAUAUGAGUUUGAAUUUGUCAUUAUCCUUCUCUUGUGACUAUGGUUUUGACAAUUCACAUGGAUAAGAACACAUACACCAUUAAAUCUAAGUAUCAUAAGGUUUCUCUCUGAUUCAUGAAAAUGAUCGUAAGGAAACACUUUCACUAAGUAGAUUUUAGCUAGAUAGCAAUUGUGAUAUUUGCAUUCUCAAAGUCGUUAGUGGUUUACCGGUACACUAACAUGGUCUUGUGAGAAGUGAAAAUGGUCUAAACAAUCAAGACUAUGAUUAUGACAUCCCUUUUCAUAGUUCUUAAAAUUGUUUAGAAACACAUGUGAGCUAUCUAAGAUAAGGUGUAUGAUUGUGAUAAAGUUUUAUCAAAGCAAUCUAGUAUCAGAAAUCUGAACUUUGGAAAGGAAGUCAAUAAAGUAUUGAUUUCUAGAAGUCCAGCUGAUUUCUGAGUACGUGUCAAAUCUAGUGGGAGCAUAAGUGUUAUGCUAAUAAUCAUCACGUUAGUGGGUGCAUGAUAAUUAUGAUAAGUAUUGCAAGUCAGCAAUGUUAAUUAUAGAAAACAAAAAGUUUCAAUUGGGAAAGAGNGUUAGCAAUGUUAAUUAUAGAAAACAAAAGUUUCAAUUGGGAAAAAGUUGUUUUGCUAUAAUUAAGGGAGAGGAAAUUAUGCUUCAUCUCAAAUCUAUAAGCUUAGAUCGUGAGGUUUUAAUCAUUUAGUCAAGGAUAUAUAUGAAUUUCAUGUUGGAAUGGCUCAACAUAAGGAAAUUCUGUAUAUGGGUCCAUUAUUUGCGUUCUAAAAUUCGAUUAUGAUUACGGCAUCCCUUUUCAUAAUCUGAAUUAUGAGAACUUGGCAAAUAGAAAUGGAAAUGUUAUAGCAAAAGACUGGUUUAGUCUUUAUGUGAGAUAUCAUGAAUCGUGUCCCAUAUGCUUCGGAUAUAGGAUCGAUUACAUGUGAUAUAUUCAUCCUUUCUAAAAUUUUCCAAAUGCCUAGGGCAUUAAGAAGGGAAAAGAUCUAGAAUUGGAUAUGACUAAAAGGAUUAAACAAUUGUCGAAGACAAUCUAAGGUUUACCAAUGACUGCUUGCUUAAGGACAGUUGGAAGUGUAGUGAUAAUUCUGGAAGGACCAUAUUGACAUAAUUUGUAAGGAGGCAACUCUUGUUCAGAAGUGAUAGUCAAAAUGGAAUCUGGAAAUGUUUCAAAGUUAGAAAUUAUUCAAUCUGUGUAAGAUUAGGAAACUUAAUGCGAGAAGGAUGUUUCCAAGGAGCUGAUCUCCUUUGGAAUGCUCUGUAAUGGUUGUUGUCAAGUCUUUCUGACUUUGUGCAUAAUCAUUACAAGAUGAUCAAUGCAUAUAUGUUUAGAAUCUAACAGAUUUCAGUAAAUGGCAUGAAUUUGGAAUUCUUGCAUUUGCAGUACAGAUUUGGGACUAUGAAAUGAGAAUUGAUGAGUUGAAAAACUCUUUGAUUGUUUAGAUCUUUAAACAGGUUAAUCCCAAUAUUACGAACAGAAAUAUCAAACAUAGGAAUGAAUCAAAAUAUGCUGAAUGAUUCAAUAGAUUCACGCCUCAGCAGAGCUCGAUAAAGAACUUCCAUUGUAAAGGCUGUUUACGGUUACAAUCGAUAAAAGUAUUCGCUGUGAAUAAUCGACUCCAAAAUCUUACGUACAAAGAUGCAUGCAAGCAUCUAUAAAUAGUAAACCCUAAUAAAUAAAUCACGGAUGGACAGGCCUAAUCCGGAUACAAAAUUGGACUAUGAACCGAGCCCAAGACGCAACACCUAAUGGACCCUACAAUCCCCCCCUUUGCGUCAGUUGGAGCGAGACUUUACUUCAGUUUGCUAGGUCCAGCUGCAGGAACUUUCUUCGUGGUGUCGAAAAGACGAGGAAUGAUAGCAAGGAUGGUUUGUCUGAAACAAAUGUACCACUGGAUCAUAUCAUCGAAAUACUUCUUGUCAUCUUCAGAAUUCUGCUUGCAUCGAUUGAUGAUCCCCAGAACAUGUUCCAAGCACGAAGUGGUAUGUAGAUGCUUAUCUGCCAAGGCGAAAAGGUAUUUUUGGCCUUCAUUCCUGGUGAACAUGACUGAGUUUCGCUUUGGAUCGAUUCUCCCCAUCUGCAUCAUAUUCAAAUCACUUGCAGAACCAACUGGAGAGAUGGUAGGCUUCUUCUUGAAGACACUUGCAAUCUCCUGAUCCAUCUUGGCGACCUCUAUGAUGUAGCAAACCAACAUCCUCUUGAAGUCAUCUAUGAUCGGCCCAUAUUCUGCUUCAUUGGUGAGGAGGAUGUUAUGCAAAAUGAUCCAAUCAUGUGGAUUCAGGUUAGGAAGAUCAGCGAGUGAAAUGGCAUGUUCGGUUAUAGCUGACCCCCUCAAAACUUUGAACUUGACAUUUGUGAAGUUACCCUCCCGAAAGGGUUUGAGGACCCGAACGUUUAUGAUCUUCUGCGCACUUCAUGUCUGAUAUUGAGGCUGAGCAGACCUCAUAUAGAACUCAACGAGCUCCCUAUAGACCUUUGGGUGAGGAUGAGGGACAUCAGCAACAUGGUAAAAUGCAUGAAAUAUGAAGGCCUUUCGGGUUAAAGGCAUGUCGAACUGAGAGUCGACAGAAUUAACCCGGUCCAAGAAAAUCACUAGUUCAAGCCAGAGGAUGUUGUGGGUAUCGAUAGCUUCUUUGAUAAGCUUCUCAAGAGUCCACAGAGGGAAUAGGGUUUUUUGACUUUCAAGGAGAUCAUGAGCCUCCUUCAUCUUCCUUUCGUUGGCUUCUGCCUCUCUUGCGAUUCGAGCACUCAUGUCUGAAUCCUUAUCCCUCGCCUGUUUCUUCAAGAGAUCAGCAAUGGUCUCUUUGUCAUCAUCACCAUCACUGUCAACCAUAGCCUUUUCCCUUUAUCUUGAGCACCCGAACCUGAAGCCUGACCAGUUGUUGGAGGUUCGGUUGCUUUAGUUGAAGCUGAUGUAGAAGUAGGAGGUGGUUGAAAUUAAUUUUUGCCCUUUGAAACCCCUUCUCCCCCAUGUUUUGGAUGGGCCACGAACUCAGGAAGCCCUUCAAUUUCGCUAAGGAGGUCAAGGGCGGGAGCAAGCUUCUCGGCUACAGUUUGCCUCACUGAGUAGUUCAGGAUUGGGUCGUGUGCUUUAAUAAUGUUGAGAGGGUGGCGUGGACAUCCGAAACACAAGUGGAAAUGACCGCUCGCUCAGAUCAGAGAGACGCAACCUCCUUUUCUGAUUGGGAAAGCUGAAGACUCUUCACCUUUAGAGCAGUGGUUUUACAAGCAAGCGCAUCCAUCACUGAGUUCUCCGAAGCGAGAUCUUCUUAGAGCUUGGUCAAUCACUCCUCAACAGUCGCCUGGAAGGAUUUAUUGUCAGCUUCAAGAGACUGACGAUGACUGGAAAAAAAUUGUUGUUUUGAUGCGAAUGAAGUAGCCAACUUCUUGACAACGGAAUCGACCUUCGCUGCACUAGAGUCAGCUGCUCCCUGUAAAGACCGUAAAAGAUUGUUAGCAUCAUGAAAUAGUUUUUUGACUUUUUCGGUCGCAGCAGCACAGGCCUUUGUGGAUGCUUCUAUAGCAGCAGUGGUGGAGUUGAUAGAGGCUUCAUGUGCCUUGGUGAAAAAAUCAACUAGCCCUUGAAUGGUAGCCUCUGAGAUAUUGGAUCGAGAGGAGGAGGAGCAAGUGAUGAGACUAUCAAUUUUCUCAUGAAGUUCCUUGAUGUGCUUUUUGGUGACAGGAGCAUCAUCGUCAUCAUCGCUUUGAACUUGGUAGGGACUGUAGUAGACAGAAUCGAAGGUCAUGUCUUCCCCUCCAAGAAAGGUCUCGGUAUCUGCUGAGUGAUUUGGAGAUGAAGGUGAAGGUGGAGGUUCGGUUAUGGUAGUAGGUUCGGGUUUGGAGGUGGGUUCGGUUGCAGGUGUGUGUUUGGGUGCUGAAGUGCGAGCCCCCGUAUCAGAUACAUUGGUUCGAACUCGAGUGGUUGUUGUGGUUGUAGCGUCUGAGAAAAUGGGGGUGGUACAUGAAUAGAAAUGGGUGGAAUAUGAGUAGUGGAGGUUAUGGGGGGAAUGGAAAUAGAGAUAGAGAUUGGUGGAGGAGAAAUAGGUUUGCUUGUAACUGGUACCUCAGGUGAAGGCGAGCGAGGAGGAGUGUCACCACGAAACGACUCCUCUGAGUUUGAACCCUCAUCCUAUGUUUCACUGGAGGAAGAGGAAAGAAUAAGUUUUCGCCUGGGCCGUGUUUUCCUCUUCUUUGGUGGAGGUGAUUGGGCUGCCUUCGUAGGUUUUCGCUUCUUAGGAGAAGGGCCUUUUGCCCCUUUUACCACCUUAUCGUCUUUCCCCUUUUCUGGUUUCUUGCCCCUGGGAGCAGGUGUCACACCCCCAAACCAGAACGGCGGAAACGUUCGGGGGCGGAGGACGUCAUAUUCAAUAUCAUAACAGUUUAUAGAAAGGAAAGUACACACUACCAUAUAUAAAGGUUUUAAAAAUGUUUACAUCGUUGUAUUCAUUACACGUUCAAAAGAUAAAUGCAUAAACAUCUUUCAAAAGAAGUAAAUAAUGCCAGCGCGGUAUUCACCAAAAGUUGAUUUCCAAACCUGCUUAACGAUUCCCUGAGAAUACAAGUUAUUUCAAAGAAAAAGUGUCAACAAUUAAGUUGGUGAGUUCAUAAGUGAUUUAGAAACAUUGAAUGCCAUUCCAAAAGCGAGUGUAUAUUUUCCAAGAAAAUCCCAUAUUUCCUUAUAAAAGUGUGAAAUGCAUGAGAAUAUUGGUAUUGAAAAACGUAGAUAGUUGAAACAAGAAAAUCCCUUAUUUUCCUAAUAGUUGUUUGUUUAAUGUUCAAGGCUAACAUUUUGAAGCAAUCCACAUGCUUUAGAAAAGUUUUAAACAUAGAUUUAUAUAAUAAACCUAUUAGAAGUUUUCAGUUUGUUAGAUAAUGAAUAACCGUAGUAACUACUUAUUCAUUAUUCAAAAGUACUAUAGUAGUUGUAUAUCCGAUGAGUUUUAUAACCAUACUGAACAUAAUAUGCCUGUAGCGACGUUCUUCAGGCGUCGUAGCGUUAUGACAAACUGUCACCCCAAAAGACGGACUGUAGCUAACAGCCAGGGUGCGGGAUCAUGACUUCCCGUAUAGAUCUAUACACAUUUGACACGUUCUCCGAACGGGAGACUCUGGUUAUAGACAGGACUUGUAGCGAUACCUUUUAUCUAAAAGGCAGUGUUUGAAGAUAUACACGUCUCAUGGAUUCUCAACUAAGUCUGUAUUAAAGUGAUAGUUUUGUAUGCAAAGUUUAUCCUUUUUCACAAUGUUUGACCAACAUAAAUCACAAGUUUUUAGAAUAUAUGAAACGGUUUAACAACGAAAGAUAUUUUGGUGUUACUAAAUACUUUGUAUAAAUCUAUUGCAUGCAAAGUAUAACAAGAGUUUUCGCAUAAUAGAACUAAAUCACAAGUGAUUCAUUUGAUAGAAACGAGUAAAUGAGAUUUUUACGAAAUACACGAUAAUAACGGUAUGUUUACUUGUAUUCCUCCCCUAAAAGAGUAUAAAAGCAUUUAAAAUGUAUUUAAAGAGUGUUCGAAGGGGAUAUGAACUCACUUGAUAGUUUGAAGAUAGCGAGAUGGAAAACCGGACAGAGUUUCGUCUCGGGAAACGGAUUUUCCUCGGGAUUCUCGGGAAUCUCGGGAGUAAAAUCGACCCUCGGGACUUGAGCAAAAAGACCAGAGCUUCGGGUUUGAACGGGCACGGAAAACGAGGCAAGAUUGUGAGAGAGAGGAGAGAAAUGAGCAUUUUUCUCGGAAGCCCUCGCAUUCUAUUUAUAGGAAGGCUGAACCGCCUCGGUACGCGGGGCGUACGCUCGUACGCAGCGCGUACGCGUACGUCAUGCAUGACCGAAGCCUCGACUGCCUCGGCUUCGGAUGGGACGGGUCGGUGGGGAGGCGGGUCGGAUGGGACGGCGGGUCGGAUGGGACAGCGGGUCGGACGGGUCGGUCGGACGGGCGGGUCGGACGGGUCGGAAGCCUCGGAUAGGGCGACGUGGACGAUCAGAGGCCAAGUCUCUCGGGUACGCAGGGCGUACAGGGGUACGCAGCGCGUACCUCGGAUGAGGACGCUGACUCCUCUUCGGAUAAGGUCCGAAUUUUGAUUUAAAUAAAUAUAUAAUUUAUUUAAUAAACUUCAAAAAUUCAUAUCUUCUUCAUACGAACUCCGUUUUCGAUGGUCUUUAUAUCCACGCGUAGGUGAGACUACGCUCUACAACUUUCGUUUAGACUCCGUCGGCAAAUUCCGAAAUUAUUUUUUUAUUAUUUAUAUUAAACUCAUCGUGUUUAAGGAAUUUCUUUGAAAAUUCCUAACUUCUUUAUCUGAUGUCGGUUUUUGCCAGACUUUUUACCGCUGAAAUACCAUUGUCGAGACCUUCGAUUCUCGUUUAGGUCAUUCCGGCCAAAAGUCGCUCGAUCUCCGAUUCGAGUUUUUAGCUGUCUACUGCUAUAUUCGGAUCUUGGAAAAAUCAUAACUUCCUCAUACGAAGUCAGAUUUGGACGUUCUUUUUGUGUACGCUCACGGUUUAAUGUUAUCUAUAACUUUCAUUUAGAUACCUAAGGCUAAAUGCUAUCGUAUUGAAACUUUGCGUUUUCCGUUUAAUCGGUGUUGUCGGUUUUGUCGGAAAUCUUAGAAUGGUCAUAACUUCUUCGUCAUAACUCGGAUUUUAGUGUUCUUUAUAUAUUUGGAAACCUUAAGACGAUAUCUACUACAUAGUGUACUCCAAUCAGAGCUUUUGAAUAAUUCAUUUAUCGAUGAUAUUGCUAUUACAUUCCAAAGAGGUUACAAGACUCGAUCUAUAAUGCCCGGAAAUAACGGGUUGUUACAGCAGGCUUGUCAGCGUCAUGGAUAGACUGAAUCAUCUCUGGAGUGAGCUCUCUUGGACCCGAAGGAAGAAACUCCUUGUAGGUUUUGAUGAUGCGACUCUCCCCUGAUACACACGCAUACAUUGACUCAGGAAUUGAGCCAACAAAUUGAAACUUGGAAGGAUCCGUCACAAUGAUCUUUGUAGUGUGGAAAGUGCCAAUAGAGGAGAGUGGAGAUGUAGCCAUAAUGGGAACAUGGUACUUGUCCAUUACCCAUUUGGUGACGAGCGUCCAGAACCUUGCAUAUGAAAUUUCAGAAUGUCGAGAGGUAGAGGCAAGGCUUUGGAUUAACUGCUGCCAUAAAACUGAGCCACAAUCGAGAUUGACGCCAGUGUACAACCCAUAGAGAAUCGUCAUGAACAGACGACUAGCCCCAUCAGAACCUGCACUUCUCUCUGAUAGACCCUUGAACAGUAUCGUGAAAAAGCCAUUCCACUGAGGAGGAAGACACGAUUUCUUGAACUUCAUGACGGUGGUAUGAAUCUCAGUGUAACCCAUGUUGUAAAACAUGGAGAACAACUGUCCCACAGAAAUCGACUCAGGGUUAACCCUUGACUCAUCAGUUUCAAACCCUAGAAACGAACAGAAUCGCUGUUUGGAGAUGGAGAUUUUGGUAUCAAGAAUGUCAAAGAAAAUGCGAUCAACAGACUUGUCGUAGUGGGCAGUGGAGAACAUCUGGGAUAAACACUACAUAGGUAUGAUUUCGACCUUGGUCAGUGCGAGAACCAGUGCAAAGUGUUUAAGACACUCCACUAUAGGGUACAUGAAGGCAUAGUACGUAGAUGGGGUGAGAUCAAUGACCAAGCUUUCCUGGGGUCGGAUAGGGAGAAUGUGGGAGGUUUCAUGAACAGAGGAGGAAUCCACCAUUGUUGAGUUCUUCGAAGAAGGAGAUGAACAGUGAUAGAAAAAUGUCUUUGUUUGCUCUCAUAAAAUUGGGUGCAGUAAAGAGGUAAAAGAACUUAGGGUUUACCCUUUAUACCGUGUGUAGAAGAGAGAGAAAAAUCCACCCCCAAAACUUCUUGAAAAACGAAUCGAUUCUGGAGUUGAUUAACGCGUGACACGUAGCAACCCCUAUGAUUACGCAUGAGAGAGAAAACCGUUUCCAUUUUGCACGCCUUCCCAUCAAAUACCCUUUUGAAUUCCUGAAACGUUUAGUCUCCCGGGUGAGUCAUCAUCUUAUCUUUAAAAUUAGCUAUCUUCACUCAAUAAAAGCAAUCACGUAAAUAAACCACAACAUCCCGUUGAAAAUAUAGCAUUAAAUACUAGAGCUAUAAAAAUAGCUUGUAGUGAACGAAACCAGACUUUUGGAAAAUCAAAAAGAUUUUCUUGCAUAGAGUGUCAAAGAUAAAGAAAUAAAGCAACAUAUAUGUGGAAAAUUGUGAUGUCAAUAAAGACACGAAACAGUGGAUCCCGGGCACGAAUCUCUUCCUUCAAAGUUGAGUGAGACUUUAAAGUUUUUGUGUGGUUUCCCGUUGAAUUUCGAUCAAGCACUUGUUAAGAAGUGUUGAAAGGCAUCUUUUAAUGAGGCUUAAAGGGGUGGCUUUCCGUUCAAUUCAGAAUUCUAGAUCUUGACAUAAGACAGAAACCGAAUGAAGUACUUGUGAGACCAAUGUGGUCUGUUGAACAAGUAGGUUUGGAUCGUAUUUUAGUGACUUGUUGAAAAUGCUAGGUAUGAAAUCUCAAGAAAGUUUAAAACUGGAUUCUAUGUGAAGAAAUGUUAUGGUAUGUAAGAAUUUCAUAAGAAUCACGCAAAGGGAAAAUAGAGAUUUGAUGGUACAACCACUUGAGUGGAUUCGUUAAAUCAUAAGUGAAAGCUAGAGCAAAUUUAAUUGUUCACCAUCAAUUUAUAGCGGGUAUUGAAUUGUGGGUUUCACUUAGCACGUAGUGACAUGAAGCUAAGAUCACUAACACAGAGAUUGUGUAACCAUAAACCUCAGUGGUAAUUCUUGAGAGUCUUAAGGGUUACUUGUAUGAAGUGAAUAUGAUGGAGAAAAAAUAUUUGAGGUCGUGUAAGAAAACUAAAGUACCUCUGCUAUAAAAAUAGUGACCAAGCAGAAAACUCUUAACUCAUGUGAGGAAAGAGUAAGGUAGCUCAUGAUUAGAAUAAAUGUUGCAGCCUAAUUGGGAAGACAAGGUUUGUAUAUAUCGAGUCAAUAAGGCUUUAUUCAAAAUAAGUUGAGGCUUCGGACAACAUGCAACAACAUGCUUCUAGGGACACUUAGCUAGUAAAAAGUGUGAGAAUGAUACCUUUUUGAGAUAAGCGAAAACAAGUGCAGUGGGACCGAACCCCAAAAUAGACCGAGCGUUCGAUUCAUUUGGAUUUCCAUGUGAACCAAGCCCGAAAUAAACCGAGCGUUCGGUUCAUUUCGCUUCCAACUUUUAGUUUUGAGAAUGUGUUUUUGAAACUGACUCCGAUUCCAUCAUACCUAGGCCUUGUUGAAUUUUAUUGAAACUUGCUUCAGGAAGAGCUUUGGUGAACAUGUCGGCCAGUUGAUCAUUUGUUCAAACAAAGUGAAUCUCUACGUUUCCAUCCUCCACAUGAUCCUUAAUAAAGUGAUACCUCAAUGCUAUAUGCUUUGUCUUGGAAUGUUGUACUGGGUUAUGACAGAUCCUAAUUGCACUUUCUGAGUCGCAAUAUAGUGGGAUCUUUUUCAUAUAGAGUCCAUAGUCCCGGAGUUGGCUUUGGAUCCAAAUCACUUGAGAUGUGCGUGAGGCGGCUGCAAUGUACUCUGCUUCGGCUGUAGACAGAGAAACACAUGUUUGUUUCUUAGAUUGCCAGCUCACCAACUUCCCGUUGAGGAAUUGACAGCCUCCUGUAGUGCUUUUCCGGUCUAAACCACAUACUCCUAGGUCUGCAUCUGAGUAGGCUUGAACGAAGAAACCUGAGUUUGAGGGAUACCAGAGACCGAGAGAGGUGGUUCGCUUCAAAUACCGGAAUAUAUUCUUCACUGCCAGCAUGUGUCGUUCACGAGGAUUUGCUUGAAACCUGGCACAAUAGCACACUGAAAACAUUAUAUCGGGCCUGCUAGCUGUGAGAUACAUCAGGGAACCAAUCAUUUGGCGAUAAAGCGUUAUGUCGACUGCUGGUUUUUCCAAAGAUGGUGUGAGCUUGGUACCGAAUACCAUAGGGACUUUGACCUUUGAGUCUCCCAUCAUGCCGAACUUUGUAAGAAGAGUCUUGGUAUAUGUUUCCUGGUUGAUAAAGAUGCUUUCGGGUCCCUGUCUAAUAUUUAAACCAAGGAAAAAGCUAAUUGGACCCAUUGAGCUCAUUUCAAAUUUAGUCUCCAUCAGCUUUCUGAAUUUAGCUGUUAGGCUAGGAUUCGUUGAGCCAAAGAUGAUAUCAUCAACAUAGAUUUGAACGAUCAUAAGGAGGUUAACUUCCUUUUUACGAAAGAAGGUUGGGUUAACCGAACCUUGUUUGAAUUUAGACAUCUUUAAGAACUUAGUUAAUGUUUCAUACCAUGCCCUAGGUGCUUGUUUCAGACCAUAAACAGCUUUAUCCAAGAUGUAGCAGUGAUCUGGAUGCUUUUCAUUUACAAAGCCAGGAGGUUGCUCCACAUACACAGUUUCUGCAAGUUCCCCAUUCAGAAAGGCGCACUUUACAUCCAUCUGGUAGACCUCAAAGUUCUUGUGUGCAGCAUAGGCAAGAAAUAUAUGAACGGAUUCCAGGCUUGCCACCGGAGCAAAUGUUUCUUCGUAAUCGAUUCCUUCUUCCUAGCAAUAUCCUUUCACCACUAGCCAAGCCUUAUUUCGAAUCACAUUACCCUCCUUGUCCAUUUUGUUUCGGAACACCCAUUUGAGACCGACAACCGAGGCAUCUUUUGGUGUUGGAAUUAGUCUCCAGACCUUAUUUCUUUCGAACUCAUUGAGUUCGUCUUUCAUUGCCUGAACCCAAUCAGAAUGGUCGAGAGCAAUAUUGACGGUCUUCGGCUCUAUUUUGGAGAUGAAAGAAUUAAACAUGCAGAAUUCUACUUUGGAGAAUAAGGCAGUUUGCUUCGCCUUCAGUUAAGAUCGAGUUAGAACCUUUUCAGAUGCAUCACCCACUAUUUGAGACACAGGAUGAUCUCUGGUCCAUUUGGUGAGAGGAGGAUAAUUUAGAUCAUAGGAUGGAUCCAAUUCAGCAUUUACCAUUUCUUCCAACUUUGAUUGAAUAUCAUCAUCAUAGAGCAUAUCCGAGUUCUCCCCCUCGACAGAUGAUGAACCAUUUGGAUGUGAACCCAAAAAUCUUUCUUCGACUGGGCUUUCAGGCUGAUCCGGACUUUCGGUUGUCACUGGACUUUCAGGUGCUAUAGAACUUUUGGGUCCGUCAAAUAUUGGAUUCUCCCCCUGAAUAUGUGAGUCCUGUUGAUUUGAAGAAAAUAGAUUCUCCCCCUCGACCGAAGUACCGAUCUGGGGAGGUUCGAUUCGAACUGGUUCUUCUUCUCCCAUUUGUUUGGCUGCAUCUUCGACAAUCUUCUUAACGUGAUCAAUCUUGUUGUCUACUGUCGUGGCCUCAGAGUGAGCAGCUUUCUCAGGUUCAUCAAAUAGAUCCAUGAACUGGUCAAAGAGAUUGGCGAUCGAGGCUGUGACUUGACCUGUUUGAGAGAAAAUCUCUCCAAUUGCAUCUUCGGUAGACUUCAACUUCUUGACAUAAUUGUCAUCGAACGUCAUAUAAUAGGUUUCUUUAAUUCUUUUAGAGCGCUUAUUCAAAACCCUGUAUGCCCUUGAAGUAAGAGAAUAUCCUAGAAAGAUACCUUCAUCAGCUUUGACAUCAAACUUGUUGCGAUGUUCUUUGGAGUUGAAGAUGAAGCACCUUGAACCGAAUACGUGAAAGAACUUGACAUUCGGCUUCCUGUUGUUAAUAAUCUCAUAAGGGGUGAGUGAGAAACGCUUGUUGAGAUAAGAUCUGUUUUCAGUAAAACAAGCUGCAGCAAUGGCGUCGGCCCUGAAAUACAGAGGAAGUGAAGCAAAGCUCAGCAUAUUUCGGGCCACCUCACACAGGGAUCGGUUUCGCCUUUCGACAAUUCCAUUAUGUUGAGGUGUAUAGGGGGCUGAGAAGUUGUGACUGGUGCCUUUUUCUGCUAAAAAAUCUUAGAAUUUUUUGUUCUUGAAUUCCAGUCCAUUAUCGCUCCUGAUGUUUCGAACGACUUUUCUCAGUUGCACUUCGACUUGCUUGAUAAAGAUCUUCAGUUUGGGAGUCGCCUCAGAUUUGUGCUUUAGAAAGAAAACCCAAGUAAAACGUGAGAAGUCAUCAACAAUCACAAGGAUGUACUUGUUACCGCCAAUGCUCUCUAUUGAUGAUGGACCAUAUAAGUCGAUGUGAAGCAACUCAAGUGGUUCAACAACUUUGGUGUUUAUGAUUGUUGGGUGACUUUUGCGACUUUGUUUCUCCAUUUCAUAUGCAGCACAUAAGUGUUCACGAUCGAACUUGAGCAGUGGAAGUCCCCGAACAUAACCACCGGUGACUAGUUUGUUGAUGUCUUCGAAGUUGAGAUGUGAGAGCCUUCAGUGCCACAACCAACUUUCGUCUAAAUGAGCUUUGGACAAAAGACAUAUUGCUGGAUUCCCUUUGAUUGGUCUGAGAUUCAGAUGGAGCAUUUCACCUUUUCGUUCAGACUUGAGAAUGACUUUGUUGGAUUUCUUCUCUGUUAUCUCUGAACCUUCAUCAUCGAAUGAGACUUUGAGACCUGUUCCUCCCACCAGUUGAGACACACUGAUGAGGUUAUGCUGCAACCCCUCUACAUACGCCACCUUCCUGAUUGUAAAAUCUCCAUUGGUUAUCAUCCGAUAACCCUUUAUCGUUCCAUAAGAGUUGUUACCAAACUUGACAUUGCCACCGUUUUGAAGUGACCGAAACUCCCUUAGCUCUUCCUUCCUUCCUGUCAUGUGACAUGAGCAGCCACUGUCUAUGUACCAUUCUUCGUCGAACUGCUCGUCACUUAUAACCUGCAAAAAUUAAGCAGAUUUAGGAACCCAAAGUUUCUUGGGUUCUCGUGAGCCUUUUACAUAAACAAGAAUAGUAAGAGAAACAUCAACAAGAUAUGUUCGUUUUAUUAAGGUUGUUUCAUAUUUCCUCUUAAUGGUAAACACUUUGAUUUUAUUAGAGUUAGAUGCAGGUAUUUUGGAUUCAGGUUCGGGCAUUUGGACAUUAGCUUACUUUCGGUCUUCAUUUGCUGAGGAAAUCUUCCUUUUUCCUUUCAAAUCCUUCGAUGAUUGCGAGUUUGGUGUAGGACGAGAAUUAGGCUUAGAAGAAGAAUGAGAAUGAGAAGCAUUAGAAGAAAAGAAAUUAGAAUGAGAAUCUUUCCUGACUUGAGGUUCGAAAUGCCCGUUUCGGUUUUGGUCAUUUGAGGGAUCGAACCUAGACCUUCGGUUGCUCUUUGAUGACGGACCGAAACUGUUUUUCCGGUUGUUUUGAGUUGCUGGACCGAAGCUGGGUCUUCUACUAUGAAAGCUUGAUGGGCUGAACUCUGGUCUUUGUCUGUUCUUGUUUGUUGGACCGAAACUAGCCUUUCGGUUGUUGUUACUUUCGGGACCGAACCUAUCCUUCCGGUUUUNUCUUCCUGUGGCCCGAAAGUCUUCCUCUAGUUCUUUUGGAUUGAUGGAUCGAAGCUCCUUUUACUCUUGUUUUCUUCUCCUUUUGGCUUGGAGUUUCUGUCAUAGUGAGUAUAGUGAGGGUUUUGGGAGCGCCAGAACUGCCUCCGCUCUGAGAGAUUUUUCUUGUAUCUCAAAUUUCUCUGCUGCUUUUGAUUUUUGACCUUUUUCGGUUGUCUGUGAAUAUUUGCCUUCUGUUUCGGCUUCUUAGCAACAGGUUCACUUUUCAUUGAAGAGGUUUCGCUAGUUGAGGAGACAUAUUCCACUGGAACCUCUUUUGUGCCGCUGGAACUGGGCACGUCAAAGUUGGUAGGUUUAUUUAGUGGUUCUGCCACGUAUCUACCUUUGGCCUUCCAUGAUGUUCGCUCCGACAAACCAACUGUUUCAUCUGCGUUGUCUAUCGGUGCAGACCAGAAAAACUCAUCACAGCCAUCUGCAUUAUCUUCAUUCACUAUGGCAGUGAGUUCGGCUGUCUGAUGUUUGGUUACUCCUGUGACCUUAUAAACCUGAUUGGGAGUGGUUCGAACCUUUUGGUAUACAACGACCUUUUCUUUAAGGAUUGGGGACUUAUGUUUGGACCAACGAGCGAAUUCCAUAGAAUUUUCAGAAAUCAAGUUUUUGUGGUUUUCAGUUUCGCUCCUAAUGAACUCGGAACAGUCAACCUCAUCCUCUACAAAAAUUUCACUCAUGUCAUCGUCCUCAUUAAGUUUAGAUGCAUUUUCAACAUCAAUUUUAUUUUCUGAACUUAAUUUGGUACUCAAUGAGUCAAAUUUUUGUAUAGUUUCGGCCCUGAGUUUCAACUUAUCAUUUUCAUCCAAAAGAUUCUUAAGCAUGUCCUUAUGGUCUUUGGACUUUAUAAAAGAUUCAAUUUUGUCCAGACCAUACAUAUAAGUGGGAUUGACAUCAUCUGAAGAUACAACACUUUCAUAGUUGUAUGCUUCGGCAUCGAUUUCAUCCUCCUUUAACUCAAGGAAGGGUAAGAUCAUGCGAUGUAUCUUCUGGCCUAUUUCACAGUCUAAAUGUAGCUGAGUAAUGUUAGUAUAAAGUCUUUUUGCAAUUAAACAAAAAAAAAAUCUCUGUUUUAACAAUUUAAGAUUGUCUCUUUGUAAAUAGAUAUUUUCAUCCCUAGUUUUAACCAGCUCCAACUCCUUCUGCUCUAUCCAUAUCCUUCGCUCCUCACUCUUGGAUGACACCCUGCUUAUUUGGUCAGUUAGAUUAGAAUUCGUGACACGUGUUUGAGUUAAACAACUAUCUAGAUUUGAAAUUCUUGAAUUCAAGUUAUUUAAUUCUUUUUCAUAUGAUGUUUGUGGAAUUUUAAAUGAAACAAAAAUAGAUUGUACCUUCUUGAUCAGUUCGUCUAGUUCACUGAUCUGCACAUUGAGAGGCUUCGCUAUAAAGAACAUGUCCUCUCGCUCCUUAGCCUCUUCGUUUCCACCAUCAGUGUUGUAUCCCCUCAUCUGGGAUACAUCUGACACCAUCAGACAUCUUCCACCAACAUCACUACUCUUAUCCACAUAAGCCUUUCCAUGAGAAGGCUUUCUCACUUCAUCAUCUUCUGAGUCGGUUGACCACACCUGUACGCCACCGAACUCAUCAUCAUCUACCGAAUCCUGCACAACAAGAGCAUUCAUAGAAGGAUUAGUAGCAGCUUUCUUCCUCUUAAUCUCCUCCAGUCUUUUCAGUAGACUUGCUUCUUCAUCCUUCUCCUCAUCUUUCUCUGCCAUCUUCUUCGACACGCAAUCUUUUGCGUAGUGAUUUUUCCCACCACAGUAAAAGCAACUGACACCAGAGUCAGCUUCACCCAUCGCUUCUUUCUUUGAUUCUUCAACCUUCGGCUCCUCUUUCACCUUUUAAGAACUAUAGCUUCCCUGUCAAUUUCGGUUCUUAUUGGUAAGGAACUUCUUCUUAAUGAACCUACUGGGAUUUGACACCAUCAUAGCAUAGUCUUCAUCUAUUAAAUUGUAGUCUCCCAGAUUUAAAUCUUCUUCUUCUGCUGCUGCAUUCUUACCUUUGGACAGAAGUGCCAAAGACACCAAGUUUGAAACCACGCUUUUCUCUUGUAACACAAUAUUUUCCUGGGAUUUCAGAAUCCCCACCAGUUUUGCCAAAGAGUACAAUUUGAACUGCUCAUGCGCUUUAACCGUCGACACAACUGCCCUCCAUUCGGGUCUUAGGCCAUUUAAGAAAGUGACCUUCUGUUCGAUGAGCUUUCUUUCAAUGUCAUGUUUGAUAAUCUUGCUGAGAAGAUGAUUGAAUCGAUCAAAUGUUUGUGUAACAACCUCCUCUGGCAUCUGCUUGAAUUCUCCAAAUUCAGAGAGAAGUAGGGUCUGAAUUGAGUGCUCUAGAUCUUCAUCUGUGGAGUACAGCUCUCGCAGUCGAUCCCAGAUUUCUUUUGCUGUACCACAAGAACUUACUAAUCGAAACAUGUCGGAUUGAAGAGCGAAUCGAAUUAGUCUCAAUGCCUUAAUGUUGCAUUGGAACUUUUCCUUUUCGUACUGACCGACGUCCUUUACAUCUUUUAAUAGAUCGUUAUACUCCUUUUGAGUUUUUAUGAUUCUAGAAGUGCUUGAAUGAGCGAAAGGGCCAUAUGUGAUAGCUUCCCAUAUCAGAUACCCAUUAUCUUCAUAUCCAAUAACAUAAUAUUCAAAGUGGUGCGUCCACACUUCAUAGUCUUGUGUGUAGAGGAUAGGAAUCUUGGUGGUUGAUCUGAUGCUAUUAGAGAUGUUGAUGGGAUUGGAUUCAGAAUCGUCCAUGCAUGAUCGUUUAACAUGUUAUAAGAUCAGACUUUGUAAUAUGUAAUAUUAGGGCAAGAUGAAUAAUUAAUGAGAUACGUCAAUUAUGGAGUGACGGCUAAAUAAAUAUCAAUGAAUGCGGAAUAAACCCUAAUCACUUCUUUUACAGAAGAGAUGUGUAUGAAUUACACAGUCUCCUGCUCUGAUACCAAUUGAUGAGUUGAAAAACUCUUUGAUCGUUUAGAUCUUUAAACAGGUUAAUCACAAUAAUACGAAUAGAAAUAUCAAACACAUGAAUGAAUCAAAAUAUGCUGAAUGAUUCAAUAGAUUCACGCCUCAGCAGAGCUCGAUAAAGAACUUCCGCUGUAGAGGCUGUUUAGGGUUAAAAUCGAUAAAAGUAUUCGCUGUGAAUAAUCGUCUCCAAAAUCUUACGUACAAAGAUGCAUGCAAGCAUCUAUAAAUACUAAACCCUAAUAAAUAAAUCACGGAUGGACAGGCCCAAUCCGGAUACAAAAUUGGACUAUGAACCGAGCCCAAGAUGCAACACCUAAUGGACCCUACAAGAAUCAUUGGAGUUAUGUUCAAUUGGUCUAUUUCGCAAAGUAAAGAUCAUAGACAAACAUUGUAUGCAUACUUUGUGUAUGGCAUGACUACUGUUUAGAAAACAUAGUGUACAUGCUUGGAGGAUGGGACAACUAUUGUUUUAAAUUCAAGAAUAAUGUUGAUAGCUGAAACAAUAUACAAUGAAUAAUGUGUAACAAUAUGGUGAUAAAUUAAAAGUGUUUUAUUUGUGUUCAUAGGUUUUGAUACCAUAUUGGAUUCAAUUAUUAUUGUGUUUCACUUUGCAUGUUUUUUUUAACUUCCUGAAUAACUAGGUUAUUGUUCUGGAUGUCUAAGUUAUUCAAACCAUCUACAGUCGGUCAUAUGUUGGAAAUAGAUAUGAUUUAAGAUUGUCGUGGGUUGGCUUGUAGAGGUAUAAGAUGUUGGACAAAGGGCUGCAACACUCAUGAGUGCUCAUAAGUUCUGAGUAUUGGAUUCAACCCGCACUCAUUGGAAUCACUUCAUGGAUUUUAUCAUGAGUGAUCAUGAGACGAUAAUAUCUUAUAUUCUUCAAACAUAGAGAUAUGAGUUGUUACUAUGAGUUGGUUAUACAUUG
rnacentral:lncRNA from 1 species